UGCAGCCGCGGUAAUUCCAGCUCCAAUAGCGUAUAUUAAAGUUGUUGCAGUUAAAAAGCUCGUAGUUGAAUUUCGGGAUCAAUAUGUUGGUCAUGCCUUGGUACGUACUAAUUUAUUGGUUUCUUCCUUCUGACGAACCAUGAUGUCAUUAAUUUGGUGUUAUGGGGAAUCAGGACUGUUACUUUGAAAAAAUUGAGUGUUUAAAGCAGGCUCACGCUUGAAUACAUUAGCAUGGAAUAAUGAAAUAGGACGUUUGAUUCUAUUUUGUUGGUUUCUAGGAUCGACGUAAUGAUUAAUAGGGAUAGUUGGGGCAUUAGUAUUCAAUUGUCAGAGGUGAAAUUCUUGGAUUUAUUGAAGACUAACUACUGCGAAAGCAUCUGCCAAG
rnacentral:rRNA from 1 species